GCUCUCAGCCCUGCGGGCCCCGCACCCGCCGGAGCUGCUGCGCCCAGACCCGCGACCGGCCCAUCGCGCUCGCCCGCGCCCGCUCCUCAGCCCCGGAUCCGCGCGGCCUGGCCGGCCCCGGCCUCGGGCCCGCGGCGCUCUCCCGCCUGAGAACCAGUCCUGAGGAAGGGCGGCGCGGGGGCGCGGAGAAGACAGCGGCGUGGGCUUAUCGGGUCCGGAGACUUUUGCCCUCUGGUUGGAAGCUACAGUGCAACUCCGCUCAUCAGCACAUCAAGGAGGACGCCAUGUUGCCGCGGCCCAGCAUGCACCGCGGCCGACGGCGUGACCCACGGGCCAAACCUCCUCGGAGCGCUCCGGCCGCGCUUUCCCGGGAUGCGCAGAGGGGGGAACGGCUCCUCCACCCCCCACCGCCCUUCUUCGUUACUAUGGUUACCACAAUUCCGCUCUCCAGAGUUUAUGGCGUUCAUUCAAUAGAUGCGUGAUCUCCAAGUCAAUCCUACAAAUGAAACUAUGUCAGUUUGGUUCAUGUAUAAAAAAAAAAAAAAAUUUUUUUAAAGCUUUAUAUUGUUACAAAUGAACCUACACGCUCCUGAAAUUAAAGGCGUUGACCCCCUGUUGUUUUGUUUUUGUUUUUUCUAGAUUUUGAAAAGGCAGCCAAAGCUUCAGAAAGAACCACUGGGGAAAAAAAAAAAAAAAAAAAAAGGACCACUGAUAAUAUGACAGAGGAAGAUAGUGGCAGGGUUAGGGGGGCGCAGAGGAUCCUCCAUGAGCUGAGAGAUUUUGCAUCACCUCAGCCUUCAAGAUCCAACCACAAGACAGAGCGGAGGAGGAAAUGCACAAGGGCAAGGAAACAGAAGUGGAUCCUGGGCAGAAAUGUGCCGUCGCCCCCAGCCCCUUCCUUCCCACUCUGGGGGCUGUUUGGUGUAGGGCGGAGAAGAGCCUGUCUGGGGAAUCCCAGAAUCUGGGCCUGGCUUCCAGCACGGGCACCCUGGCCAGGCCGGCGGGAUAGCCUGGUGCACCCAGCUCCAAGGCCUUCUGGGUCACACACUGCUGUCCUCAGCCCUUAGAAAUUCUUCACGGAGAAAGGACGAGUGGUCCUGGGAGGCCAGUGGUCUUUCCCAGCUCCCAAGUUCCACCCAGGUGAGCACCUGCCUUCCUCCCUCAGGGCCCUGGGGGUCAAAGGGCCACGAUGUGGUCCAGGACAGACAGUGCUGGAAAAGGAAAAGGAAGGAAUGUUUGUAUGAUAGAGACUAUACCGAGAA
rnacentral:lncRNA from 1 species